AACAUACUCCCUCCGUUCGAAAUUACUCGUCCAAAAAUUGAAUGUAUCUAGAUGUAUUUUAGUUGUACAUACAUCCAUUUUUGUGACAAGUAAUUCCGAACGGAGGAAGUACAUC
rfam:Triticum aestivum genome assembly, contig: Triticum_aestivum_CS42_TGACv1_scaffold_129849_2BL